rnacentral:rRNA from 1 species
AUCCCUACGGGGGGCAGCAGUGGGGAAUAUUGGGCAAUGGGCGCAAGCCUGAUGCAGCGACGCCGCGUGCGGGAUGGAGGCCUUCGGGUUGUAAACCGCUUUUGUUCAAGGGCAAGGCACGGUCUUUGGCCGUGUUGAGUGGAUUGUUCGAAUAAGCACCGGCUAACUACGUGCCAGCAGCCGCGGUAAUCCGUAGGGUGCAAGCGUUAUCCGGAUUUAUUGGGCGUAAAGGGCUCGUAGGCGGUUCGUCGCGUCCGGUGUGCAAGUCCUUCGCUUAACGGUGGGUCCGCGGCG